GACGAACGCUGGCGGCGUGCUUAACACAUGCAAGUCGAACGGUGAAGCGCCUUCCUUUUUGGUGGGUGUGGAUGAGUGGCGAACGGGUGAGUAACACGUGAGUAACCUGCCCCCUUCUUCUGGAUAACCGCAUGAAAGUGUGGCUAAUACGGGAUAUUCUGGGUCUGUCGCAUGAUGGGUCUGGGAAAGAUAUUGUUUCGGUGGGGGAUGGGCUCGCGGCCUAUCAGCUUGUUGGUGGGGUGAUGGCCUACCAAGGCGGUGACGGGUAGCCGGCCUGAGAGGGGGAGGGUUGAAGGGGGAAGGGAGACACGGCCGAGUCCCCAAGGGGGGGCAGGGGGGGGGAAUGUUGCAAAGGGGGGACAAGCGGGAGGCGGGGGCGCCGGUGGGGGGAGGGGGCCUUUGGGGUGGUGACCCUUUUUGGCCGGGGAAGAGGGCCGCCCUCUUUUGGGGUGGGGUGGAGGGUAGGGGAAAAAGAGGCGCGGGCAAAUUACU
rnacentral:rRNA from 1 species